GACGUAGGAGGCGAGCGUUGUCCGGAUUUAUUGGGCGUAAAGAGCGUGUAGGCGGCCGCACAGGUCCGUUGUGAAAACUGGAGGCUUAACCUUCAGACGUCGAUGGAAACCGUGCGGCUAGAGUCCGGAAGAGGAGAAUGGAAUUCCUGGUGUAGCGGUGAAAUGCGCAGAUAUCAGGAAGAACACCCGUGGCGAAGGCGGUUCUCUGGGACGGUACUGACGCUGAGACGCGAAAGCGUGGGGAGCGAACAGG
rnacentral:rRNA from 1 species